GCUUCCCUUGUGCACAAUAAUAAACGACCAAUCAACUCAUCAAUACCUAAUUCUGACAACAAAUUAAAUACAUGUUGCAUUGAUAAUAAUUUGGUCCAAUAUAGACAAACAUAAAAAUAAUACCUAAGAAUGGAAAGUUUGAGCUUUUUCAAUAGUGUCUAAGGAAGAUUCCAAAGAAAGACACAAUCGCCUUCAGAACUUUGGUUUGGCCAAGUGAGACUGGUUAUCGAAUGCUUUCACACCUGUCAAGCUCAAGGUAAGGCUAAAAUCAGAAAACUUUUGUAUUUUACAGUGAAAGAUGAAAAGAAGCUCAUCUUCCAAAGGAUACUGUGCACCGUGAAGUGACCUCUGCCUGGAUACAAAGGGAAUUUGAAGGCAAAUGAGAUGUAGACGUCAAUAAGGCAGUACCAUGUUCACAUCUAUUUCCAAGCACAAGGGGCUCAGCGUGGAGGAGAGUUCAUUGUUCAUCAGCAGUUGAAUAAUGAAGUGAAUAAAUGAAUGCAUGGAUGUUGGCAGAGAACCAGGAAGUGAUACAAAUGCUGUAAUACUAUUCUCGGCUCGCUGGAUCACUGUAAGGACCAGGUCUUAGGUUCUCAAGCAUAGUUCAGCUAUGGAAGAUCUCCCUAUUUGCUUCUCUGGAAACAGACUCCUGUUCUACUUGAAGCCAGACAGCUAAUUGCUAAACUGUUACUCUGCGAUGUUUUGUUACCAGAGGGAGCUGCAGAAAGCCCUCAAACCCUGACUGAAAGGAAUGGAAGACCAAAAAGGCACAUUGUGUGUUUGCUUACUGUCAUUUCCUUCGAAGCGUUUGUUAAACACCUGAGGCAUGACUUACUUGGGAGUGGUGG
rnacentral:lncRNA from 1 species